GUGCUGACAACGGCUUUUGGUCAUGGUUAAACAAAUCAACCCACGCCCAUGAGUCGCCAUAAAAUUGAUCGCUUCUGGUGUGAUAUGCUCAGCGGCCAUGAUUA
rnacentral:antisense_RNA from 1 species